rnacentral:rRNA from 1 species
UACGUAGGAGGCAAGCGUUGUCCGGAAUUACUGGGCGUAAAGCGCGUGUAGGCGGUCUGAAUAGUCUGCUGUGAAAGCGCCUGGCUUAACCGGGCGAGGUCGGCGGAAACUCUCAGACUGGAGGCCGGUAGAGGGGGGUGGAAUUCCCGGUGUAGUGGUGAAAUGCGUAGAGAUCGGGAGGAACACCUGUGGCGAAGGCGGCUAACUGGUCCAGAUCUGACGCUGAGGUGCGAAAGCGUGGGGAGCAAACAGG